AUGAAACCGACGAUUUGUAGGCAGCACUUUGAGAGAUCGUGUUUCGAACAAACUGCUCGCCAAGGAAAUGAGAUUCAAAAAGAAUUUAAAACUGAACGCAGAAGCUGUGCCUACAAUACUGCCGAGACACCAGCCAGCACAAGCCAGCACAAGCCAGCACGCCGACUCAAACACGUCCGCCGGUGCAGAGUCCUCCACCAGAGAGACAACGAAGUGCAUUCUCCAGAAGGGAGAGAGCGAAGAGGUGUUGAAACAUUGGUGAAUGAAGCCACUGACAGAACUGAGGACACCUGUAUGAUCAGCGACCAUCUAUUGGACGUCCACACUGGGGAGGGAGCUGUGUGUACAGCAACAUGUCAGAAAGAAAGUGCUGUGCAGACGGAUCCCCUCCACGGACACACCACAAGUCCAUGCAGGCGACCACGUGUCAGGUCAGCUGGACUGCAAGUUCCAAUCCAGGUUGGUUGUUUCAAAGGUCAGCAUCAUAAUAUAUAAAUAUAUAUUAUAUAUAUAUAUAAUAUAAUAUAUAUUAUAUU
rnacentral:lncRNA from 1 species